UUCUGGAAGAGAGGCUGCAGGAACAUGCCCAUCGUGCCAAAGACACAGACAAACACAAAGAUCCACAGGAAGAGGCGGUCGAUCACCAUGGCGACGUACUUCCAGUCCUCGCUGACCUGUGGAGGGGGAUUAAAGGGGACGACAAUGGUCUACAACGUAUUACUUACCACCGACAUGUGAGCAGACUCUGAUGGACACAACAUGCGUGAAGUAGGAAGGUACGCUGUUCAUUACAACACUACCAUCCAAAUCCUUCACUCAUGGAGCUGACUGACGUCCACAUGCCAUCAUGUAACAUAAAUGGAACAGUUUAAUAAAUCCUGUUAUUUAUUUUUACAUGCUGUGUCUCAUUUUAUUCAGUCAUGUCAAAUAAUUGGGGUCUUGUCCGGGACGUCUGCAUAAUUCUCUCACCUGCUAUCACUCUUACUCUUUAACUCAGUAUUAUCACGCUGUCUU